rnacentral:lncRNA from 1 species
GUGUGUGUGUGUGUGUGUGUGUGUGUGUGUGUGUGUGUGUGUGUGUGUGUGUGUGUGCGUGUGUGUGUGUGUGUGUGUGUUUGUUUGUGUGUGUAUGUGUGUGUGUGCUAUAGCUAGAUUUACAAACUAUAAAUACAUGAAUGAUUACAGUAACUGUUUCUAAACUACUUAUGAACCUUUAUCCUUUAAUUGUGACGACAUGGGAUAUGGGACAUGGGACAUGGUAACAUGGGAUAUGGGACAUAAGAUAUGGGACAUGGUAACAUGGGAUAUGGGAUAUGGGACAUGGUAACAUGGGAAAUGGGACAUGUGACAUGGGACAGUGAAUAGGGGACAUGGGAUAUGGGAAAUGGGAUAUGGGACACGGGACAUGGGACAUGGGAUGUGGCAUAUGGGAUAUGGGAUAUGGGACAUGGGAUAUGGGACAAGUUAUAGGGAACAUGGGAUAUGGGAUAUGGGACAUGGUAACAUGGGAUAUGGGACAAGGUAACAUAGGAUAUGUGACAUGCGUCCUAGACUUGGAGCUCUUGUACCGCUUGCCAUGUGGUAGCAGAGAGAACAGUUUAUGACUUUGGUGACUGGAGUCUUUGACAAUUUUGGGGGCUUUUUUUGGGACAUGGGUUAUAGGAUAUGAGAGACAUCCAGUCCAAAUGAUCAUGCAAAUCAUUUAUUCCAUAUGAUUGUAUAAAUGUUAUCUCUAUAUAGAAUACUGUAUGUCUAACCAAUGAAAUAUUGCUAGUAUACAACAGCUUUAUGAUAUUGAUUUCAUAAUGAUGUCCUCCAGUCCUUUUUACUGGGAACCGUUCUCAGCAGGAUCAAUGGCUCAGGACAGGCUCCUCUUCUCUAGUUAAGCAGGUACACUCUCAUCCCUGUAAAUCCUGCUGAAGGGGUUUCACUCCCCCCCAAAUCCUAUUAAAGUCAAGCUGGGCAGAGAUUAACCCGAUGAUCAUUUCAAGGCCUGGGGACCCGAUGGUUCCUCUCUUCAGCCCCAUGUCCUCCCAUUUACCCUAUGUCACCAGACGGUGAGCAGAAGUGUCUGUUUAAUGCUUAAUGUCUUUACCAGGCUUACCAGGCAGGGGGCCCCAACUGGCCACACUGGCUGGGAUGGUGGGUUGGCUGGACGGUGGGAAGGGAAGCACCUCUCCAGGCUACGCCCAGGGCAAUAAGGCCUGGUUAACUAUGGCCAUGCAGGGAGCCACAGUGACCCCGUCCUGACUGUGUCAUAAAGCUUUGGUACCAAUAGAUAAUGAACAAGUUGUGCUGUGACUGAGGAUGUCCAAAUAUGGACACAAAAAAAGAAAAUAUGAA